CCGAGUUUACAACUCCCAAACCCAAUGUGAACGUUACCAAACUGUUGCCUCGGCGGGGUCACGCCCCGGGUGCGUAAAAGCCCCGGAACCAGGCGCCCGCCGGAGGAACCAACCAAACUCUCUCUGUAGUCCCCUCGCGGACGUAUUUCUUACAGCUCUGAGCGAAAAUUCAAAACGAAUCA
rnacentral:misc_RNA from 1 species